ensembl:snRNA U6 U6 spliceosomal RNA
GUGUUCGCUUUGGCAGCACAUAUACUAAAAUUGGAACAAUAUGGAGAAGAUUAGCAUGGCCCCUGCACAAGGAUGCCAGGCAAAUUCAUGAAGUGUUCCGUAUUUUU